AUUGAACGCUGGCGGCAUGCUUUACACAUGCAAGUCGAACGGUAACAGGCCGCCAGGUGCUGACGAGUGGCGAACGGGUGAGUAAUGCAUCGGAACGUGCCCAGUCGUGGGGGAUAACUACUCGAAAGAGUAGCUAAUACCGCAUACGAUCUAUGGAUGAAAGCGGGGGACCGUAAGGCCUCGCGCGAUUGGAGCGGCCGAUGUCAGAUUAGGUAGUUGGUGGGGUAAAGGCUCACCAAGCCAACGAUCUGUAGCUGGUCUGAGAGGACGACCAGCCACACUGGGACUGAGACACGGCCCAGACUCCUACGGGAGGCAGCAGUGGGGAAUUUUGGACAAUGGGCGCAAGCCUGAUCCAGCAAUGCCACGUGCAGGAAGAAGGCCUUCGGGUUGUAAACUGCUUUUGUACGGAACGAAACGGCUCUGGUUAAUACCCGGGGCUAAUGACGGUACCGUAAGAAUAAGCACCGGCUAACUACGUG
rnacentral:rRNA from 1 species